UACAGAGGGUGCGAGCGUUAAUCGGAAUUACUGGGCGUAAAGCGUGCGUAGACGGCUAUCUAAGUCGGGUGUGAAAGCCCCGGGCUCAACCUGGGAAUUGCAUUCGAGACUGAAUAGCUAGGGUACGGUAGAGGGAAGUGGAAUUUCCGGUGUAGCGGUGAAAUGCGUAGAUAUCAGGAGGAACACCGGUGGCGAAGGCGGGUCUCUGGGCCGAUACUGACGCUGAGGAGCGAAAGCGUGGGGAGCGAACAGG
rnacentral:rRNA from 1 species